UGCCAGCAGCCGCGGUAAUACGUAGGGUGCGAGCGUUGUCCGGAAUUAUUGGGCGUAAAGGGCUCGUAGGCGGUUCGUCGCGUCGGGAGUGAAAACACACAGCUUAACUGUGUGCUUGCUUCCGAUACGGGCAGACUAGAGGUAUGCAGGGGAGAACGGAAUUCCUGGUGUAGCGGUGAAAUGCGCAGAUAUCAGGAGGAACACCGGUGGCGAAGGCGGUUCUCUGGGCAUUACCUGACGCUGAGGAGCGAAAGUGUGGGGAGCGAACAGGAUUAGAUACCCUGGUAGUCCACACCGUAAACGUUGGGCGCUAGGUGUGGGGCCUAUUCCAUGGGUUCCGUGCCGCAGCUAACGCAUUAAGCGCCCCGCCUGGGGAGUACGGCCGCAAGGCUAAAACUCAAAUGAAUUGAUCGGGGGCCCGCACAAG
rnacentral:rRNA from 1 species